GCUGCCCGCGACGUUGUGAGAAGUACCCUGAACCUUAUCAUUUAGAGGAAGGGGAAGUCGUUAACAAGGUUUCCGCUAGGUGAACCUGCGGAAGGAUCAUUG
rnacentral:rRNA from 1 species